rnacentral:rRNA from 1 species
UACAGAGGUUGCAAGCGUUAAUCGGAUUUACUGGGCGUAAAGCGUGUGUAGGUGGUUUGACAGUCGGUUGUGAAAUCCCCGGGCUCAACCUGGGAAUUGCUUCCGAGACUGUCAGACUCGAGAUCGGUAGAGGGCGGUGGAAUUUCCGGUGUAGCGGUGAAAUGCGUAGAUAUCGGGAGGAACACCAGUGGCGAAGGCGACUACCUGGCCUGUUCUUGACGCUGAGGCGCGAAAGCUAGGGUAGCAAACGAGG